CUCAUCAAGAGCAGUGGAGGGACUGGCCCAGUGAAACCGCAGCAACCAUCAUUAUGACAGGUGCUAAUUCCAGCGAGUAUUCGGUAGAUGAG
rnacentral:ncRNA from 1 species